rnacentral:rRNA from 1 species
AGGACGAACGCUGGCGGCGUGCUUAACACAUGCAAGUCGAGCGGUAAGGCCCCAAGCUUGCUUGGGGUACACGAGCGGCGAACGGGUGAGUAACACGUGAGUAAUCUGCCCUUCACUCUGGGAUAAGCUUCGGAAACGGGGUCUAAUACCGGAUACGACUGCCUCCUGCAUGGGAUGGUGGUGGAAACUUUUGUGGGUGGGGGAUGUGCUCGCGGCCUAUCAGCUUGUUGGUGGGGUAAUGGCCUACCAAGGCUUCGACGGGUA